GACGAAGAACGUAGUGAAAUGCGAUAAGUAAUGUGAAUUGCAGAAUUCAGUGAAUCAUCGAAUCUUUGAACGCACAUUGCGCCCGCCAGUAUUCUGGCGGGCAUGCCUGUUCGAGCGUCAUUUCAACCAUCAAGCCCCCGGGCUUGUGUUGGGGACCUGCGGCUGCCGCAGGCCCUGAAAAGCAGUGGCGGGCUCGCUGUCACACCGAGCGUAGUAGCAUACAUCUCGCUCUGGGCGUGCUGCGGGUUCCGGCCGUUAAACUACCCUUUUAACCCAAGGUUGACCUCGGAUCAGGUAGGAAGACCCGCUGAACUUAAGCAUAUCAAUAAGCGGAGGA
rnacentral:misc_RNA from 1 species